CUUUUUUUUAGGGCCACACCCUCGGCUUAUGGAAGUUCCCAGGUUAGGGGUCAAAUCAGAGCUAGAGCUGCCAGCCUACACCAGAGCCACAGCAACAUGGGAUCCGAGCCGCAUCUGCGACCUACCCAGUUCAUGCCAACGCCAGAUCCUUAACCCACUGAGUGGGGCCAGGGAUCAAACCUGCAUCCUCAAGGAUACUAGUCGGGUUCUUAACCUGCACAAAGUCUCACCUGCAGCCUUCCUUCCUACAUGAGUAAAAAUCUUCAGCCACCCAGAGAGGGGCAAAAGACCCUGGUGCAGGUGUUUAGGAAAAGCCGAAAUUGGACGGCAGACCAGGAACAUAAAGAAAGACCCUUCUAGUAUUUCAGACCCAAGCACAUGAAAAGCCUGGAGAAAUUUGACAGCACUAAUGCACUGAAGGUAAGCAGAGCCAUGGAAAAACCCAGAUCCAUCUCAACUCCUAACUCUAUCCUGAUUUUGAUACCAAUUCCAAUGAGAGAGAGGGUGAAGCCAAGGGCAGGGGAAAUUCCAUUUCUCUGACAUCAGCUGGGUGUCCUGUAAUUCAGUUUUGACACUUUCUAUCUAAAGAGCACAUCAAAUCCCAUGUUUUAAGGGCUCAAUCCCACUGGCUAAAUGGCUACUAAAAUGGGAUGACACUUUUAAGUAUUUAAAGGAAAAAAAAAAAAAAAACUUGUCAACCAAGAAUUCUAUAGCCAGGGACAAUAUCAUUAAGCAGACCAAACAAGCUAGAAAUUGCAAUUCUGGUGAUUUAUCCCAGAGAAAUUAAACAUUUACAACAAGGAGGGGGAGAGAGAGAGAUGGACGGGGAGUUUAGGGUUAGCAGAUACAAACCAUUACACUUAGAAUGGAUAAGCAAUGGGGUCGUACUGCACAGCACAGGGAACUGUAUCCAGUCUCUUGGGAUAGACCACGAUGGAGGAUAACAUGAGAAAAAGAAUGUAUAUAUACGUAGGACUGGGUCACUUUGCUGUACAGCAGAAAUUGGCACGACACUGUAAACCAACUAUAAUUUUAAAAAAUAAAGAAAAAAAUUAAAAUUUGCAUCCAAAGAUCUCCCCCCAAGUAUCAUGUGUGAGCCCACAACACCCCAACCUUUGUCUCUCCUCCCUGAGUGUGAAUAACACUGAGAUCACCUCCUAGAGCUGGUUUUGACCUUCAGCUGCAGUGGCUGUGCUGCCACGUGUGCAUAGGUAGGACGUUGUACCCUGCACCCACCCACCUUUGGGUCCUCAGUUUGGUCCCCUUCCCAGCUACCCCUUUACAGGAUGACGAGGUAACAAAUGAUGACCUGCCCAAAACAAAACAUGGCUGUUUAAUCUCUUGCUAGACAUUGCCCCUCGUGGCACAAUGGAAAAAAUGUAUGCUCAUACAAAAAAUUGCACACCAAUGUUCUUGGGAAUAGCCACGCACCCUAGGACCCCCAUAUAGAGGUGCAACUUGAAGCCCUGGCAGGAACAAAGGGCAAACUCAGACCUGGAAAAUGUGUCCUGCACACAAAAGAUGUUGGAGGAGAAAGAAGGGAGAGUCUGGUCCUUCCUGACUUCAGUGGGGCAGGUCUGAUGCUGGAAUCCCUGCCUUCCAGGUCAGGCCUCUCAUUAUAGGGUAGUAACAGACCCACACAAACCCUUUUACUCAGGCGCUAUACUGACGACUUAAAUCAAUUAAGUAUCAAUUUUUAACCUGUGAUCCAGAAAGCCCACUUCCAGGAAUUUAUCUUAAGGAUGUGAUGAAACACUUGCUCAGUGAUUCACUGAUGAUUAUAAUCAGCCUGAGCAUUGUUCUUAACAGGAAAAAUAAGCUUAAAACAAACAUUCAUUAUUAGAAUGUGGGUUAAAUGUAUUAUAUAUUUACAUAUAGAUAAUGAGACAGGGCGAUAUUAGUCGGCUAUUAAUACUGUCAAGGAUUUGGAGAACCACAGAAAAUACUGAUGAAAUAUUAUCACAUGGAAAAAAAGGGGUCACAAAGCCCAAUGUUUAUUGUUUCCCUUCGUACAGAACAGACACAUGUGCGCAGAGACGCAGAGAGCAAGACACAAAAGAUGCAAAACCAAAGUCCUAAUGGCAGUUAUGUGUGGAUCAUGGGGGUAUGGACAUUUUUUUCGUUAUCUUAGUUCCUCCUCUUUGUCUGUCUUAAUUUUUCUACAGUGAACAUAUGCUUCUUUCUUUGUAUUUUCCACAGAGCCUGGAAUGGGCUUGGACCCCAGUAGGAAUUCAACUAACGCAAAGUUCAGGGCAUGGGGUUGAUGAGGAGGCGGACCCGCCCUCUCCUUUCAGGUCCUUCCUAUCACUCCUCUCUCCAACUGCCCAAACGCACCUGAAGUCAAAGUGCUCAGAAAGAAGGUGCCUCAUUCCGAGGGUUUAGGUACUCUGGAUAAUUUCCGGAAAUCUGGAUUCUUCUCCACCUUUACCCUUACCUGGCUCCACCUGUUCCCACCCACCCAUCAUCUUAGGGAAGGUGAAUGUGGCAGUGGGAAGGGGAGGCACCAGGGAUGGGGAGGGGAUGUUGAGCUAUUGAGCUCACAGGACAGAAAAAGGUGCAGAAAGAACACAGUCUCCGAGCCAAGCCUGGUUUAAGAGCCACCAAGAACCACAUCAUUCUUCUCCCCCUUCCUUCUUUGCUUCAUACCAAGAAUGGGAUGCAUAUUAUGGAGGCAUAACAGCAUCCAUAAUAUGCCAGGGAGUAAGAUGGAUGCGCUAUAGUUCCCGCUCUUAAUUAGCUUGCCAUCUAGAAGCAGAGAAACCAAAAAAAAAAAAAAAUCAUUAAAAUUCAGUACUUUCGCUGCAAGAAUAAACUAGUGUACCAAGAAUAGUAAUGGCAAAACAAGGAGGGAAUAGUUGAUCAUUUUGGAUGCAGUUGAGUCAGGAAUGGAUCCCAGAGAAGGUAACACGGGAAGUGGGUUUGUAAGUCUGUGCUCCAUGCAGAGAAGGCUGGGGGGUGGGAGGGUGGCGUGAGAAAGCCCAAGGCACCGGGGACUCCUAGAUGACAGUAUCGCUCACACAUUCAGUUCCUGGGGCAGAAUAUUUUAACUGCCUCCUCUAUAAGCUUCUUUUUCGUGAUAAUCAUGAAAUUAAAAUGAAUAACCAUAGAGGCCAGAGCAGAGAGGUGGAACGUGCUGUUUCCCUUGCCUUAGACUCUGCACACAUCACCAUAUGGUGAUAAAAUCAACAGGCACGUUCUAACAAAAGCAAACAUUCGCCAAAGGUACCAUCGGGGCAACUACGACUUUGUAUGACACGUGUGAAUUUGUUGAUUCAUUCCUUUGCUUAAAGCAAUUAACAAUCACAAAGAAAUCUUCGUUUGAGAGAAAUGAUUGGAUUCAGUACAAUAUCUCACGCACAAGCUCAAAUCUGCUCUUCCGAGACAGAAAUGUAUUUCCCAGCCUACACGGUUUCACCUGCUGAAAUUUUACUAAAACACUAAUUAUAACGUCCAGGUGUCCACAUGGAAUGAGGGAAGUGAAAUAACUGGAGGUAUAUUCCUCUGCCUCUCUCAUCCCUGGUUAUCACUGUUUAUCUGAAUCUACUAUUUAGAUAUAAAAAUAUGCCAUGUUCCAGGGGCUGGAAUGAGUCCAUGUCCAAAGUGAGCCGGAAUGAGCCUGUUUCCAGCUCGCUCUUACACAAAGGCGGCUACCUGAAGUCUACACAGGCUGGAAGCUGACUGCAUCCCUGCCAGUUCUCUGCCUUCACUUCCAGGAUAACGCUGUAUUUGUUAACAAACAAGUAAUAAAAAUCUGCUCAGUUGAAACUUACGCUGCUAAAACCCAACCGUAACCACAGCAACUGUUCAAAUUUAUACCAACCAAAGAACGUUUUCUGGGAGGUCUGUUUUAUCACUGACUUUGCUUAGAAUUGUCAGGACAAGAGGACAAUAAACAGACACAAUUUCAGUCCGUUUUAGUACAGUGUUUAAGAUGCAUCCGUUACCACUUGGGCCCAGGGCAGGUGGGCCCCCUGCCCGGUCCUGGCAUAAGGACUUCAUUUCAGCUGGAAAUUCUGAUUAGAGAGGAAGAGAGACAGAGGGGCCUUUCUAUCCAGCAGCCUAUCAUCUGUCCCUCCAUCUACCCAUCCAUCACAUCUGUCAUCUGUCUAUCCAUCCAUCCAGCCAUCCUCCCACCAAUCCAUCCACCUACCCAAUUAUCUACCUGUCUGUCCAUCUAUCUUCUAUCUGACUGUCUGUCUUUCUAUCAUCUGAGGAAUGACAACAGGUAGACAGAGCCCAG
rnacentral:lncRNA from 1 species